GGGCGGGGGCGGGCCGGAGGAGCCCCGCGCGCUCCCUUUGUGCGUGGAGGGGCGGGCCCUGAGCAGGUGGGACGAGGCGGACACUUCGCUUUCCCGAGUGGGAGCGGCGGGCGGUUGGUGCACGCGACGUGGGCUCAGGCUGGUGGCUGUCGUCGCCGUCGCCUCGCGGUCCCCAGACGCUGGCGCGUGCCCCCGGGCUCGCUUCUGGUGCUUUCCAGGUUCUGGACUGCCCAGGGUCAGGGCGGCUGCCGGGAGGAGUGGGUGGCCCCGGUGAUUCACCGUUACUAGCGAGAGCGGACAGUUUUAGCUUUGUCAUGGCGAAACGCUUUCUGAUCCGGGAGAUAAGUGUGCAGUGCUGGCAUUGUGUCCCGGAGUGUCGCCUGCCCCUCUCGGGCCGCUUUGACAAGAGCCUUGCCGGCCUUGCACGUGUUUGUUCCACAGCGUGUUUAGGGGGCUGGGUCGGGAUUUUUCAAAAGGGCGUAGAAGAAAAAAAUUUUUUUGCCUGUUACAUCUCCAUCCAUCAGACUGUUUCCUUCUCCACCCUAGGAAAAAAAAUAUUUCUUUUUUAAACCCAUCUUUUUCUCCUAUAAAUGACAGAUAACAUAAACAAAGUCCUGUCUGAUGGAAAUAGCUAAUAAUUGGGGGCAGUACAGAGUGCACUGAAGUGGGGAGAACUGUGGGGAUUGUUUGCUUUAGGAAGGCGAGACUGCCCACUUCGUCCGCGCGUCCUUAGCCUGUAGCUCCUGCUGGGCAUAAGGGAAGAUGUGAACGCUCUGUGUCGAGUGAGUUUGCCAGCUUAGUAGGGCUGGGAGACUUCACUUCCACACACGUAGUGGCUAUGGAGGGCAUCGUCUGCUCCAUUUCUCAAGUUUCCUGUGCGUGUUUCAGGCACCCUCACAGCAGCUUUCAAACUCUUUCUGUUCGGUUAUUACUUUGCCAUGUGUUAGUUACCCUGCCACAACUCAGAAUUAGCCCUAGGUUCUUCCUGUUCUCUAGCCAGUUAGCUCUGAGCCAAAGAAAUGUUUGUUUUAUUUUAUGGCUGUCAACGAAUUUUGGGUAAGUGGAGGGGACUUGGCUGAAUCGGUAGUGGCUUCAGUGAGGCCAGGUUUCUCAGGCAGAUGGUUCAUGGGAGAGAACUCUGAAAUAAGGACAUUCUUUUUAAAUGCUGUGAGGAAAUAAGAGUUUAGCCUGAUUGAUGAGACACUAAUGCGUAAGUAAAACAUUUUAUUAGUAACGUGGUUUAAGAGACUAAUUUCAGCUUGAUGGCCCGUCUAAAAAAUACCCUGGGAAAACACAUUUCUGAGUUGGCAGCCAUAAACGAGAGCUUCCUGUGUGCAGUGUGAACGGGCCAAGAGCCGUGGCUUUGCCCUCCUGUAAUGUGUAGUCCAGGUGCGUGUGAGAAAUUCCCAAAUGUCCAGAAUGCAAGGUGAUUCCCAAAGAUGGUUGUGAGCAGAAUGCUGGGCGCGUUGAAGGAAACAAGCCUCUAGGAAGGCUCACUGAAAAUCGUGGCUUUUGGGUUGAGCAUUGGGCGGGGUGUGUGUGUGUGUGUGUGUGUGUGUGUGAGUAUCCCAAGCUGAGGAAAUACACAGAAUAGUAGGGCCGGCGUGGGGGAAGCAGGCUUCAGUGUGCAGAGCUGUUGGAGCAGAGAACCUGGAAGAUGGGCACUGUGGUCUGUAAGAGUUGGUAGUGAGGGGUUCCUCUUUGGGUGGAGUAGGGACACGGUGAGGGGUUUUGAGUGGUGUGCAUGUGGCAGCAUCCAGGAUUCGUGCUUGGAGUCCAGCCAGUCCAGUCUUUCAGACAACGGAGUGAUGUAUCGGGCUUGUGAACACGAGUAAUGAUUGACAUAUUGGUAGUUGGAUAAGGAGUCUGUUGAAAUAAUGAAAGAAGAGGUACAUUUAAAGUUUCUAAACAUGCAUGUUAAAACAAGGUUUUCUUCUCUGUUAGAAAGGCAGGAGAAUUCGGUGAAGGCAGUAGGUACAGCGGACUUCAUUGCAGAGGGCUGUAGAGCAGAGUGACCUUGAAGGACAGCCAGACAUUUUAUCCAAGAUGGCAGAGUCCCUCCACCUCCUCUUUGCUUGUCGUAGAGUGUAUUGGGGCACAGACAGCUGUACUGUUCAGUGCACAGAAUACUCCACGGUGGUCACCCCUGACUCCUGAAGACUACUGCAUUGAGUUACUGAACCGCAGAAGCAUAGAAAAAAGGUUUAAAUCCAAGUGAGUGCUCUUUAGAGAGAAAAGAGGCUAAGAGGGCCAAAGAAGACGAAAGCGAACUCUGAGUGGAGCUCCGGGAGAGGUUAGAGCAGAUUCACCAACUUGUCUGUCCCUCAGUCUCAUUUGAAAAACUGGGAGUUGGAGUAAAAUUUUCUUUUUCUUUCUUUUUUUUUAGAUUUAUUUGAGAGGCAGAGAGAGAGAGAAAGUCCUUCCAUUUGCUGGUUCACUCCCCAGAUGGCCACAAUGGCCAGAGCUGUGCCGAUCAGGAGCCAGGAGCUUCCUCUGGGUCUCCCAAGCGGAUGCAGGGUCCCUAGGACUUGGGCCAUCUUCUGCUGCUUUCCCAGGCCAGAGCAGAGAGCUGGGUCAUAAAGCACCAGGACUUGAACUGGUGCCCACUUGGGAUGCUGGCACUGCAGGUGGCGGCUGUACCCGCUAUACCAUAGCACCGGCCCCUGGAAUGAAAAUUUCUGGGUCUGUUCAGGUUGAAGAAUGUGUUGUUGUCAAGUGAUACAUGAAUUGUUGAAAAGCUGGUGGUAUUAGUGAAAUGAAGGCCUCAGGAGUCGUGUGUGAUCCUACUGAGUGCUGCUGGGAGGAGCAGAGCUAUCACUGGGCAGUAUCAAAUGGCCUGGGUAAGGUGUCUGGGAGAAUUAAGUACUGGGCUGUGAAGAAAUGGCAAAUUGGAGAAAUCACAGGGCUUCUAUAAACCCCCUGGGAUGUUUGGGAACAGUGUAUCUCUUUUUAAAAAUUAGUUAAUUUGAAAGGCCAGGAGAGAUCUUCCAUCCACUGGUUCGUUCCCCAAAUGGCCGCAAAAGCCAGGUCUGGGCCAGACUGGAAACAGGAGCCAGGAACUUCGUCCUAGUCUCUCAUGAAUGGACGGGGCCCAGGUGCUCAGGCCAUCCUCUGCCUUCCCAUGCAUAUUGGCAGGAAGCUGGAUCUGAAGUGGAGCAGUCACUGCCACCACAAAGCUGCCCCAAAUGUAUUGUUUACAGAGUGACCUUGAACCAGACACUGUUUAAGAUCACUUCUGUAAACGCCGUAGGCUAACAGAUACCUGUCCUGGGGGCAGCAUCAUGGCAUAGCAGGUAAAGCUGCCACCUGCAAUGCGGGCAUCCCAUUUGGACGAUGAUUUGAGUCCUGGCUGCUCCACCUCCCAUCCAGCUCCCUGCUAGUGGCCUGGGAAAGCAGCCAAAGAUGGCUUAAGUGUUUGGGCCCCUGCCAUGUGGGAGACCCAAAAGAAGCUCCUGGCUUCUGGCUUCGGUCUGGCCCCAGCUCUGGCCACUGUGGCCAUCUGAGGAGUGAGCUAGUGGAUGGAAGAUCUCUUUCUAUCUCUCCAACUCUUUCAAAUAAAAAAAUAAAUCUUAAAAAAUGGUAGCUGUCCUAAAGACUAAUUUUAGUAGACUGCUUUGGUAUAAUUUCAGAAACGGAAAUCUAUAUUACAGUAAGUAAUAUAAAGUAAGUCACUUAAUAUAUUAUGUAGAGAAUCUCUGACAGUUGUCUCUGGCUGUAUAAAGCUUUUGCCUUCCCUUUUUCUGCCUUUCUGCCCCUCAAAAUAAAUAGAUAAAUAAAUGUAGCGGCCCUUGAGCACCUUUGUUGUAUAAAUUAUAGAUAAUCACAUUAUUAGACAUUAAAACUAUUCACUUAUAAUUCACUUUGAAUAAUUAAUAAACAGAAUAAUAAAGCCAUAAGGAAUGGAUGUUUUUAAAUAUUUAUUUUGUUUGAAAAGCAGAAAGAGAGACACCUUCCAUCUGCUGAUUCACUCCCAGAAUCCCUCCAACACUCAGAGCUGGGCCAGAUCCAAGCUAGGAGCCUGGUACUCUUUCUAGGUCUCCCACAUGUGUGACAAGGACCCAAGUAGUUGAGCCAUCACCUGCUACUACCCAGGUUACAUUAGCAAGAAGCUGGAAUUAGAAGCAGAGUUGGGACUCAAACCCAGGCCGUGUCAACCAGUGCACCAGAUGCCCGCUGUGUGUGUUUUAACUGAAAUACAUAAAAGUGCACUGUGUGAGUGUGCAGUUCUUGGGCGUUAGAUGCAUUUACAUUGUGUGCAGCGUCACCUCCUAUCCCCAGGACAUUUUCAGCUCUCCCAGCUGAAACGCUAUAACCAUUAAACCUCAGUUCUUUCCUCAGCCUCUGCCAACAACCAUUUUUUUCAUUUAUUUUAGUGUAUUCAUUUUUACUUAUUUGAAAAGCAGAGAAAGAUCUUCCAUCUGCUGAUUCACUCCCGAACUCCCACGACCGCCAGAGCACCCAGCUACUUGAGCCAUCAUCCGCUGGCUUCCCGGGGCAGAGUGGACAGUGAGAGAGAGACAGAGAGAAAGGUCUUCCUUUGCCGUUGGUUCACCCUCCAAUGGCUGCCGCGGCCGGUGUGCUGUGGCCGGCGCACCACGCUGAUCCGAUGGCAGGAGCCAGGUGCUUCUCCUGGUCUCCCAUGGGGUGCAGGGCCCAACUACUUGGGCCAUCCUCCACUGUACUCCCUGGCCACAGCAGAAAGCUAGCCUGGAAGAGGGGCAACCAGGACAGAAGCCGGCGCCCCGACCCGGACUAGAACCCGGUGUGCUGGCGCCGCAAGGCAGAGGAUUAGCCUAGUGAGCUGCGGCGCCGGCCUAAAAAUAAAUUUUAAAGAUGAGAUUUUUGUGUUUUGUGUUUGUUUUUUAUAUUGAUGAUUGAUUGAUUGAUUUGAAAGGCAGCGUUGCAGAGAGAUCUUCUGUCCUCUGAUUCACUCCCCAAAUGGCCACAACAGCCAGGACUGGCCUAGGCCAAAGCUAGGAGCCAGGAAUUCCAUCCACGUGAGUGGCAGGGGCCCAAGGCAUUGGGCCAUCGUCUGCUGCCUUCCCAGGCACAGUAGCAGAGAGCAGGACUAGGAGUGGAACAGCUGGAACUGAACCAGCUCUCCAAUAUAAGGUGCUGGUAUUGCAAGCAGUAGCUUAGCCUGCUGUACUACAAUGCUAGCCCCUACAGAUUUUUGUGUGAACAUUUUUGCUAUUCUCUUGGAUAACUACCUGGGGCAUAUGGUAAUUCUGUUUAAUAGUAACUCUGAGUUAGAUACCCCCACAUAUUCAACAAUCCUAGUGAGUGUGAAUGGGAUCUGAUUACAUUUGUGAUUGCGUCUCCUGGGUGAAUACAGGAUGUUGAGCGUAUUUUCAUGUGCUUAUUUGGAGAGAUGUCUACUCAGGUCCUCCCCCCCCCCCCACCCCAAGAUUUACUUAUUUGAAAAGCAGAGUGACAGAAAGGAGAGACAGAGACAGAGAUCUUCCAUCUGUUGGUUCCUUCCCCAAAUGGCUGCAAAAAGCAGCUAGCUCUGGGCCAGGCUGAAGCCAGAAUCCAGGAACUUCAUCCUGGUCUCUCUCACACAUGGGCGCCAGAGCCCAGUACUUGGGCCAUCUCGUGAUGCCUUCCCAGAUGUACUAACUGGGAGCUAGAUAGGAAGGAGAGCAACCAGGACUCAAAAACCAUUGCUCCGAUAUGGGAUACUGGUGUCACAAGUGGUAGCUUAACCUACUGCUCCACAAUGCUGGCCUCAAGCCAUAUUCUAUCUUUAGUAGUCUUAAUAGGAUAGUGCAAAACUUGACCCGUAUAUACUAAACUAGCAAGGCAAUUUUGACCUGCUUUUAAUUAAUAGAAUAUCUUUCUGUUAGGCAUCAGUACUUUCAUCUGCUGGUUUGAUUGCUUAUGACCAGACCAAACCAGGAUUUAACUUCCUGUUCUUUUCUGUGCUCCAGCUUUUUUUUUUUUUUUUUUUAAAGAUCUAUUUAUUUAUUUUAUUAUUAUUUUUUUUGGAAAGCCAGAGUGACAGAGAUCUUCAUCUGCUGGUUCACUCCCCAAGUGGGAAUGAAUUGCCAGAGUUGGGCUGAUCAGGAGCUUCUUCUGGGUCUCCCAUGUGGGUACAAGGGCCAGGUACUCAGGCCAUGUUCUGUUGCUUUCCCACACACAUUAACAGGGAGCUGGAUCAGAAAUGGCACAGCUGGGACUUGAACAGGCACCCAUAUGGGAUGCCGGCGCCACAGGUGGUGGCUUAACCCGGUGUGCCACAGCGCCGACCCCUUCUGUCCCCUUUUUAAGGAAAAUACUUGCCUAGUACCAUUUACCUUUCCCUUCAGAAACUAGCAACUAAGUCGGCUUCUUGAUUUAGUAAAUUACAAGUUUUCAAGGAAAGAAAGUAUAUGUAUUGAUGUUUGUCUUGGUUCUUUUGAUAACACCAAUAUAAAAAUGUUGGUGAAUGUUGUAUAAUGUAACAGUUUUAAAUAUAGGUUGGGGGGGCCGGCGCCAUGGCUCACUAGGCUAAUCCUCCGCCUAGCGGCGCCGGCACACCGGGUUCUAGUCCCGGUCGGGGCGCCGGAUUCUGUCCCGGUUGCCCCUCUUCCAGGCCAGCCCUCUGCUGUGGCCAGGGAGUGCAGUGGAGGAUGGCCCAAGAGCUUGGGCCCUGCACCCCAUGGGAGACCAGGAAAAGCACCUGGCUCCUGGCUCCUGGCUCCUGCCAUCGGAUCAGCGUGGUGCGCCGGCUGCAGCGCACCGGCCGCGGCGGCCAUUGGAGGGUGAACCAACGGCAAAGGAAGACCUUUCUCUCUGUCUCUCUAUCUCACUGUCCACUCUGCCUGUCAAAAAAAAAAUAUAUAUAUA